GACGAACGCUGGCGGCGUGCUUAACACAUGCAAGUCGAGCGGUAAGGCCCUUUCGGGGGUACACGAGCGGCGAACGGGUGAGUAACACGUGGGUGACCUGCCCUUAGCUCUGGGAUAAGCCUGGGAAACUGGGUCUAAUACCGGAUAUGACCUCAUGACUCAUGUUGUGGGGUGGAAAGCCUUGUGCGGCUGAGGAUGGGCCCGCGGCCUAUCAGCUUGUUGGUGGGGUGAUGGCCUACCAAGGCGACGACGGGUAGCCGGCCUGAGAGGGCGACCGGCCACACUGGGACUGAGACACGGCCCAGACUCCUACGGGAGGCAGCAGUGGGGAAUCUUGCGCAAUGGGCGAAAGCCUGACGCAGCGACGCCGCGUGAGGGAUGACGGCCUGGUGUAAC
rnacentral:rRNA from 1 species